GGGCCUAUAGUAAAGUGGUAUUACACAUCCAUGGCAUGGAUGGGUCGGGGGUUCGAUUCCCCCUAGGUCCA
rnacentral:tRNA from 1 species